UACGUAGGGUGCGAGCGUUGUCCGGAAUUAUUGGGCGUAAAGGGCUCGUAGGCGGUUUGUCGCGUCGGGAGUGAAAACCUUGGGCUUAACUCAGGGCUUGCUUUCGAUACGGGCAGACUAGAGGUAUGCAGGGGAGAACGGAAUUCCUGGUGUAGCGGUGGAAUGCGCAGAUAUCAGGAGGAACACCGGUGGCGAAGGCGGUUCUCUGGGCAUGACCUGACGCUGAGGAGCGAAAGCAUGGGGAGCGAACAGG
rnacentral:rRNA from 1 species